rnacentral:rRNA from 1 species
AGUGAACGCUGGCGGCAGGCCUAACACAUGCAAGUCGAACGGCAGCACAGUAAGAGCUUGCUCUUACGGGUGGCGAGUGGCGGACGGGUGAGGAAUACAUCGGAAUCUACUUUUACGUGGGGGAUAACGUAGGGAAACUUACGCUAAUACCGCAUACGACCUACGGGUGAAAGCAGGGGAUCUUCGGACCUUGCGCGAUUGAAUGAGCCGAUGUCGGAUUAGCUAGUUGGCGGGGUAAAGGCCCACCAAGGCGACGAUCCGUAGCUGGUCUGAGAGGAUGAUCAGCCACACUGGAACUGAGACACGGUCCAGACUCCUACGGGAGGCAGCAGUGGGGAAUAUUGGACAAUGGGCGCAAGCCUGAUCCAGCCAUACCGCGUGGGUGAAGAAGGCCUUCGGGUUGUAAAGCCCUUUUGUUGGGAAAGAAAAGCAGCAGGUUAAUACCCCGCUGUUCUGACGGUACCCAAAGAAUAAGCACCGGCUAACUUCGUG